UUCUUCAGAUUUUCCAAACCGUAAAAUUUCUCUCACACCUCGCGUCUCUUCUCAUUUCAACUUCUCUCAUCCUAACCACAAAUUUCUCUCACACCUCACGCCGCUAUACACAAACAAUGAAACAACCGAACCAGGGAGAUCAAAGCAAGAAACAACCGAACCAGGGAGAUCAAAGCAAGAAACAACCAUAACAUGAUAAUACCCUUAUCCCUUCAAAAACCCUAAGCCCCAAAAUUCACUAUUACUCAGAUUUACAGUUACAAGCAAUAGCAAAAUAAAAAUAACGAUUCAGUCUGUGAGGGUACAAAAUUGCAGUGUGGGUUGUGUUGUUGUGUUCGAUUCCAACGAGAUGUUUCGCUUUCUGAGUGUUUUUGGCUGUUAUGAGUGCGUCUUUUACAGGUUUGGAGUGAUGGAUUUAAAGGUGGGCGAGUUAAGGUUGAGAGGUGGAGAAGUGUUUGGUUGUUGCUAUGUAAAAAGUUUGUUUGUUCGUGCAAGAAUCUGAGUAUUUGAGCCUGGUUAAAGAGUGAUUGAGAAGGGAUUUUGGCAGAGGUUUGAGUAUGAGAUUGUUGGAGUUUGCAAUGAGUUAUGGUAGGAUUUUCGUGGUGAAUUUUUGCAGGGUUUUGAGAGAAGUAGGCAGAGGUUUGAUGUUAGGGUUAUCACCAGGUUCGGAAGGAAAAGAAAUGGGGUGAAAUUGUUUCAGCACUAAAACUGGAAGGCAACAAUGCAAGGCUAUGUACUCAAGUUCAAAAGCUCUACAGAAAGCUUCUAUACAAGUUUGACAAACUUUACUUCUACAGGUUUCCUGCUUCUCAAACUGCAUCUAGCAGCACCAAAGGUUCAGCUAAAAGGAAACAAGGAUCAACAUCAAGUUUAUCCCAAAUAAUGGAUGAUGGAGAUUAUUCAACAGAAGCAGAGAUAUCCAAGGACUAUCCUAUCAAUGUGACAGCAUUGUCAGGGAUCCUUAUCUAGAAGAACAUUUAAAGCUACUCAUUGCAUUGUCAGGGAUCCUUAUCUAGAAGAACAUUUAAAGCUACUCAUUGGUACUACAUAUUUUUCGCAAAAGACAUACUGCACCAUUUUUGGAGGCAGGGAGUUUUCUUCAAUGCAAGAAUGAUAAUCUUUUGGCUAACACUCAUAUGUUUUGUUCAAGUCCACCCACCAACUUAUCAUCUUAAGCUUGUGUUUACGGUGAUCUUGGCCUCGCAGCAAUUCUCCGCAGAUCGAAUGUUGUUCACUGCAUGGGUAUGUAAACCAGUAGAAGAGUUUUAAAUAAGUCGAUCAUAACUAACAAGCUCUAUUUCGGUUGACAUAUAUGAUUUUGGAAUGUGUAUAUCGAAUGAUCUUCAUAUCUCUGAUUGUUUACAUAAUUUGCAUCUUGGUGAUCACAUAGAGAUUCAGUGGAGGAGAAAUAAAGAAUAUCCUUGUGGUCUGUCCCUUUUUCCAUAUUCAUAUAUUCUUCUAAGCUUAAUCUCUAAUACCAUUUUCUUUAAUGAUUUGUUUUGUUUCUGAAGUUGAUGAAUAUGAAGUUGAAUAUCCUUGUUGCUAUUUCGGUAUGAUAGUGGGAGCAUCGACUUCGUCUGAGUAUGAGUGAUGUUCUUCUCUUAACGGCCGAUGAGGUCUGUUGCCGAGCCUAUUGGCAGUAUACAGGAUGCACUUUCAAAGGAUCCCAAUUCACAUUUCUUUCUAGCUUUCUGCACUACCAUUGAUACAAACAAACACGAAGUAUACUGCGAGGCAGUUACUAACGGUGGAUUGUCUAGAGAGCCUUACCAAUUUAAAGUUGCAUAUGACAAGCUUGUAAUUGCAUCUGGAGCCGAGCCUUCAACUUUUGGUAUCAAGGGAGUUAAGGAACAUGCCUUUUUUCUUCGUGAAGUGAAUCAUGCUCAAGAAAUAAGGAAGAGACUUCUUCUUAACCUGAUGCUUUCUGAAAAUCCAGGCAUAUCUGAAGAAGAAAAGAAACGUCUUCUGUACUGUGUGGUUAUUGGAGGUGGUCCUACAGGGGUGGAAUUUAGUGGUGAAUUGAGUGAUUUCAUCACGAAAGUCUUUGUCACUCAUGUUUUAAACUACGUCUUCUGCAUGUCUAAAGUCUUUGUAACUCAACUUUUUAUAUUUAGUUUUGGUUCAGGUUUAUUAGAUAUUUAAUGUACUUAGUCAAUCAUAUACUGAUGCUAUUGUCAUUGAUGUGUAGACGAUAAAAUAAUUUGUAUAUAGUAAUCAAAUUUUAAAUUCUUUAAAA